CCGAGUUCAUGCCCUCGCGGGUAGAUCUCCCACCCUAUGCUAUUAUUACCUUUGUUGCUUUGGCGGGCCGCCCGGCCUCUGGCCAGGGCUACUGGCUCCUGGCUAGUACGCGCCCGCCAGAGAACCCCAAAACUCUUUAGUGUUAUGUUGUCCGAGCAGUAUCUUAAUAGUUA
rnacentral:misc_RNA from 1 species